AAGUGGCAGGCUUGUAAAUUCUGUCAUCUGUUCAUUAUUGGUGUUGAUGGUGUUUUUCACAUGCAUGCUUUUUAAUGCUAGUUUAAUUCUCAAAUUGAUCUGAUACUUUCGUUUCACAAAAAGUAAACAAAUUGUUCACUUUCUUAGGGCCUGACAACCACCAGUUGAGUCCAUGAUUCAGGGAAGAGACAGUCUGGGCAGCAGCAACAAGACAACUAUUACAAGUAGAGAUGGGUUUCAAGAACUGGUACUAAUUUGGUUCCUGACUUGUUCGGUACUGAAAAAAUUUACAUAAGCUACAGGAUCAAUAGUGCUGCUAUCAGUAUUCUUGUAACAUUGAUUCAUUACCCUUUAAAAACAACCACAUAUCCUCCAAAUCAUCUCUGCGUGGAUGGCAGCAAGGAUCCAGGAUCAAGAGAUCAUUCUUCAUUGAGACUGUUCCACAGGAAGCAGUUUCUCCUGGGUGAAAAACUAAACCUGGUUGUUUCAGCAUCACUCAGGCAAGACUAAAUACUUUUAAAUUGAUUUCAGUUGGUUAUGUGUUUCAGGUCAUCCUGACCAUUCUGCUGUCCUGGAUGUAAGUCCGUGCAGGAACUACAUUUCUCGUUGUUGAAAGAUUUGUGCAGCGGUAUCCAGACAUAUAACGCCCCAUCACACGGGGCGUCAACGCCUCUCGUUUACUUUUAAAUGAAGUGACGUCAAGGAUGGUGAAAUUAAUUCUAGAAAUUAAUUCUAAAUAGAAGUUGAAGACUUCUCAAGCGCCAAUGCAGCCGUCCUCCAGUCAGAACAUCUUAUGCAAAUACCCAAGCGCAGACGCAAGCCAAUCAAGUGCAUGCAAUACCAGAAAACUAAUGUGAUUGGCUGUCACUAUGAGAAGAGACAGUAAUUCUGAUCCGAUAUCAGUGUCGUUUUUUGCAAGAAAAAAUUUAAAUCAAUGUAGAAUUUUCUAUACUUCUGUGUAGGGAUGUCAAUUUUCAAUCAUUUCCAUGAUUGAUCGUCGUUUAAAUUAAUGAUCAAAUAAUCGAUUAAUCGUUAACCUUAAUGCUGCAAAGUCUAUUGCAGUAACACCCAGUCACUGGUAUGACAGGAUGUGCAAAAGUGUGUGUGUGUGUGUGUGUGUGUAU